GCAGUGUGGUGCAAUGAAUAGGGAGCUGGCAAUAAACCAGGAAGAUCUGACUUCAAAUCCUGACAUUGACACAUCAUAAUUACCGGUCCCCGAGUAUAUCAUUUAAACUUUCAAUGCUCAAGAUGUCAAGAACAAGGUGAGAGGAACUGAAAGAACUUUCCACUAUACCUGAGACUGUGUGAGAAGGGGCCUUCAGAUGCAGCAUGAGUGAAUCUUUCUUCCACCUUCAUUUCUAGUCAUGCAAGAAAUAUUUGUUAUGCCUUGCCUCCCAUCAGAAUAUGUCUCAGACCAGACUUUCCCACAUUUUUCAUUCUGACAUGAGAACCCAAUCCCUAAAAAAAAUCUUCUGUUAACCUCUUCGCUGAUGAGCUGCUAUCUGAAGCUACUUUAACUGAGCUGUCCUCUGUGUCUCAGAUUACAGGAAAUCUGGGAAUGAUUACAGAAAAUGAUCCAGGCCUUUUCCUUCCUCCUAUUCAAUUCUGAACUCAACUUGACUAUUAUCAA